CUGUGGGGCUCAGGAAGCAGAGUCUAAGAACAUCUCCACCAUGGCCUGGGCUCCGUUCUUCCUCAUCAUCCUAGCUCACUGCACAGGUGG
rnacentral:pre_miRNA from 1 species